GGAACGAGAAAAACCUUCAGCUUCUGCGUCAACAUACUGGAAAAGCAGCUGAAAAUAGGAAUAUAGCACCAGUUCAGAGCAAAUGUCAUCUCAAGGCAGAUGAUAAAACAGAGAGUUCUAAGCAUGUAGCUACAGUGGUAAGUAAGGACUCCAUAUUAACAAGAAAAACCUCUAGUAGAACCAUGCUCAGUAUAAGUGGCCAUCUGCUGUGAUUGGCUAGCUUUAGAGGGCAGAAAGUAAACAGAAAAAAAAAAAACACAGAAGCACCAGUCCAGGAGUAGUUUAUUUGGGAAAGAAUACAGCACACACCGUUAGUGACAUCACUAAUACCAUUAGUAGUUCCAUCUAAGAAACACAAUAAAACAAGAAAGCACUGAGCCAGUAGUAGUAUCAAUGGGAUAAGAAAAUUAAGAGUAAAUACCUGCAGCAAUAGCUCACUGGCAUUAUCCUUGAAAGAGACAGUUAAAGACAAAAUCCCUAGGCAGAGUGUAUCUUCUAUGAAAACAACAAGAAUGAGAACAUACACUUUAUUAGAUUAUGACACACAACACAAAUACACCACACAAAGGUUUCUAUUUACUGCUGCAAUUUCUAGUUAUGAUUAAAGUUCCUUGUCAGGUUAAACACAAUUUUGUGGCCUCACACAUUUAAGAUAAUAAAAGGAAUAGAAGUGUUGCACAUAUAUUUAUUCUGAACUUUUGUUAUUUUAUUUAGAGAGCACUCACAUGUUGCAUUUCUAAUUUAACAAAUAAAUAUUAAAAUCGUUUAGAAUUUCUUCCUUUAGGAAUUUCUUUCUUUAGGAAGUGGCAUAGAGAAACACUUUUAGAAUUUUGACAUUUUCUUAUGAAGAGAUGGUAAAAAAUAUGAGGACAAGUAGAAGGAAAACUGCAGAAACAGAAUAUCCACAUGCUCUUUCUAGUAUUUUUUUAAGGAAACAUUGAACUAAAGCAGAACCAUCUGCUGGAAGAGGUAUGGACAGUAGAGGCAGACAAGCCAUUUGGGUGCUUUCUACCAAACUGGUUUGUGUGGCUUUAAAAAUGUUUUUUAUUGUUGGCAUUUGCCCUUUGCUUAGCUAGAUGAAAGAACAAUGAGCAGGUUAAUGGAGACCAUUAACAUAUAAAAAUAUAGUGACAAGCAUGUUCAUGUUAUUUUUACUUGUAACUGUUUUUUUUUUUAAGAUGAACCUAAUAAGCUAUUAAAAACAAAAGCAAUUCAACAUAAAUAUAAUGUCAAAUAAACAUUGGUAUAAGACAAAAUUAUUGUCUCUUGUCCAACUGCUGUUUAUUUCAAUGCCACUUACCUCAUAGUGUAUAUAUAUGUCAAUAAACUGAUCUACACUUCAGAGUUGUGCUGAUUUCAGUUUAACCUUCUUGCUCAUCACCAACAUUGGAUAUUUUGAAACCUUAUGAAGUUAAUAAAUACUACUUGAAAAGGUGUGUGUUACUCUUCUGCAGUGUAGUUUGACA